rnacentral:lncRNA from 1 species
CUCACUCGCAGAUGUUGGAUGGUGCCCAUGGCCGUGCCGUACGACAACGAUGAGCGCCACAGCCCUGAGGUAAAUGGCCGCCGCCCUCAUACUCUUUGAUUUAGGGUUAUGGUGUCCGGGAUUUCGCCUCUAGGGCCGGGUUUUGCUGAAAUCUUAGGGGUUAACGAAUUUGACUAAAUCCCUUCUCAUAUAGAUACUUAGACCGAGAACCCUGGGCCCCUUAGCUCACUGAUGCGGCACUUUAGCUCGUUUAUAUUCGACAAAUAGGGCUAGUUACUUAGGUGACUUAGGGCUAAAUCGAGACUUAUUACUGCUUAAACAUAUGAACAACUUAAACAGGAGCAUGAAUCAAUCGCUUGCGAAGACAAACUAGCAUAUACAGAUAGCAUCUGGGGCACAUGCUUAGCAUGAAAACAUAAAACUUGAUGCAUAUGUCCUUGAAUGGAAACAUGUAUCCAUGAAUGGAUCAUCAGGGGAUUCAAUCUUAGAGCUAGAUGGCUCUGAUGUCAUUUCCUUAUAUAUGUGUAUGGAUUAGCACUGUGCACUAGGGGUGACACCUGGUGCUACAGUCGGUCGGUUUGCAACUGAUCAAGGCAAAAUCCGUCCUUUCUGUUUAGCUAAUUAUCUGUCAGGUUUAGUUUAGCCAGCAGAUCAAACCAACACAAGCUUGACCGCUUUAGAAUAGUUGAGAAAGAGAUUUAUAUAAUCAUCUGUAGGUAAAUAGAAGCCCAUAUGCAAGACCAGAUACGUACCUUCAGUCUUAAUUACAUCAAUGCUACACAGAAAGCUUUCAACUGUUAGUGAACCACAGAACAUGCAACAUCCAUACGGAUGGGUCCCGCUAUUUUCUAGAGCACGCAACCAGUUCAUGUAUGAUGUUAAGUGUCCGAAACAUGUACGAUAGACAAUCAAAGGGAUGUGCUGCACCUUGGGCAUGUGCUGCAUCAAGAUGGGAAAAUGCACCUCAAACAAGUACAAUGCCUGAGACAUGCAUGAGCUUUAGACCUGAAAUAGGGAAGACUGUACAGGCGACCGAUCUUAAUUUCACAUCAAUGAUGUUAAAACCAACUAGCAUUAUUUUACUGCAAAAACACAUACACGUUGUAUAUCUGAUUAUUUUCUUUAAGAGCGCAUCCAAUUGUUUGAUCCAUACAAACAUGGUAAAAUACAAGCAAUCUUUAUUUUUCUGACUGCACAGGCAAAGAUAGAUCACGAAUCUCGAGUUUGAGUGGCUCAUGGAUAACUGCGUUCACUGUGCUAACCAUCUCAGUUGGUGAGGAAAAUGCAUCAGUGUGAGAGUAGAAGAAGUGGCAUAUCUUGCACAUGUUCCAAAACAGCUCCCUGCAUGCCCUAGGAACAACACUAUCUUCCUUAAGGACCAACCUCAGCAAGUCUUUUCUACACGAGGCUACAGAUCUCCUUAUUGACUCUUUAGCCGCUUCAAUGGACAUAGAACCGUCACUGUGGAGAACACGUAGUGAAACACUAUCGAGUUUUCCCUCGCUGCUCUCCCUCUGUAUUAAUAGUAGACCAAAAAUCUGUCAGAAUAGCCCAACUACAACUUAAAGGUCUAAAGUGGCUUACAGAGAUAUGAGUAAUUACUAUCUUCUCAAAUAUUCACGACAUGAACACGGUAUGCACAAAAAUCAGUACUUGAUUUCUAACUCUCAAAGUGAAUAUGGGACUUGCAUUGUUCUGUGCUCUAAAUAAUACCAUGAAUGGCUGGAAAUCUAGAUUUUUGCGAGGAUUACUAUUUACUAUGACGCCUCUAGUCAUACCAAGUAUUUGUAUAUAUAAAUAUUUUUCGUGUAGUGAUAUCUGAAGCCAUAUGUGAAAAAAUGAUAUGCUUACAGAGCUAUACCAAAUUGGAAGACACAAACUUUAAGCCAUAAAGGGGCCGAAAUACCUCAAAGCCUUGAAUGUCGUUGAGGAGUCGGCAACAAGUGCCCAUUAGCCUGAAUAACUCAUUGUACUCUUGACCAUUCACAACAGAUGCCAAGAGUGUUUGCCCGACAAAAUAUGAUGCUGGGAGCAGAAUGGGAGCCAAUGUGAAUGAUACAAUUGCAGUUUCCAUGUACUCUUCGACUGUCGGCACAUAUUGUCUCAUCCGCCAAUCUGCGUCGGUUAUCAUAGUCCCCAGUAGUUGUAGCCACUACACAAGAUUUGCAACAUUUCAAUGCUAAGCACAAUAAAAUUCAGAAUCAUUCAGACUCACGGGAAACUCACAAUUUCUAUUAGGUGCUUUUUGACGUCACGGUCUUGUACAAAUGAAGCCAUUGUUCCAAGAUGGUUCGUUGUAGUGUAAAUGGCAUAAAACAAUAUUUUUACUUGCUCAGAGUAGAAUUCGUCUUUGGAGUGCUCAUCCCACCUAAAGACACGCAUUAGCAAAUUAGGCAAAAUGACUUGUUAGAACAGCAAGACAUCGUCAUAACACUACUUUAUAAAAUGAAGGAGAAGGUUUCUCAGCAUCUUUAGAUAGGAAAAUGCCAUCAGUGGUGCUAAAAAAGGACAUAUAAAGAGAUCAAGUUGACGAAUCGUACUUCUCGAGUAGUGUUACAAGGUUUUCUAGUUCUUCUCUUGACCCCUCAAUAUCGAAGAAGUCAUCAACAAUAUUUAAGAGUAUAGAAUUUUUGGCCCAUGAAAUGCGAGCAUCAGACAGUUCAGGAGGGAACAUGGUAGCCGCAGCAGCAAGAUAGCAAAAUGUUGUCCUCUGUCGUGCAAACAGUAGCUGGUCUAGCCUGGUCUCCUUCACCCAACUGUUGCAACAAAGAAAAUUUGAAAAUUCUCUAAGAAAGGAAGUUACUAAGACUAGAGAGCAUAAUUAUCAAGUUACCGUUCAAGAAGCUGGAGUUCAUCCUGGUAAAUAGAUUGAGAGAAGGUGAAAUCUUCAAUAGCCAAGGCUAGAAUAUCUUGGUUUACACAACAUGGCCUGAUUUACCAAAAUGUUAAAAUUUGGUAUCUAACAUCUACUUAUAUUUAUAUGAUUCAAAGUUGACAAGUGUUUUAGGAAAUAAAACUUUACAAUUGUUCUGUCUUCAACAUCUGCGAACCCCUCAAAUCAAAGUUUUCAAUGUUCCACUUCUGAUCCAGGCGUUCCAUUGUGGCAUAAAAGGGAAAUUUAAGAGCAUACUCCACCUGAAAUUACAAAAGCAUACAAGUAAACAUAAACUGUACCCUAAUUAAAUAUAGGAUCAAAUCAUUUUUUGAGUUCUAAAUUUGAUGCAAGCACCUCUGCAAAGACCGGCCUACUUUGCACGCCGUCAUGGAUUAAUUUUUCCCUUAAUAAGUUGCUUGACCAGUGUCUAAUAUUAUCAAGAAUAAAUUCAUUUUCUUCUACACUGACUGUUGAUGCCUUGUAUAAUUCCAAUAUAGAUUUUGUAUCAUUUAAAUACCCUUGAAGUGAAUUAUGAAAAGUGGAGGCUUCAUCAACAUGACGUAGCUCAUCUGCAUCAGAUUGAAAUUAGUGAAUUAAUUAGUUAAAAAAUACAAAAGGUAAAAUAAAUAAGAUAGGAAAUUCCGCCCAAUGAAGUACCUGAGGAAACGUCAUAUCCAUUCAUCCGUAACUGACGAAACGCCAUUGCGCAUGUCGCUACAUCCAGCAUGAUUUCCUCAUCUCUUUGUACCCACAAACUGUAAGGUGGGCACAGUCAAGUUUACAAGCUACAAAAACUAAAUGUCAAAUGUUUAUUCAUGGUCACUACCUAUAUGUCAUGUUUAAGAUGGUCUUUAUCUCACUACAAAAAUGGUGAGAUAUCCCGAUCUUUUCAAGAGAAUCCACCAUUGAAAGCUGGCAAUAUACAUUUGUCGGGUACACUGUUGGUACUGCAAAAUUCCAAUUUUGUGAGCUAUAUAAAAAGUUUAUGCCCUUGCAAAUUCUUGAUGAGAAAAUAUACAAAAACCCACCUGAACUACCACAUUUACUAACAAGCAAGUUCAGGUACUGGAGGGCUUUGUCAUCAUAAUUGUGGAUUAAAGCAGCAGCAGUUGCUGAAGGAGAGUUGAACAAUGAUCCAUUAUUCCUCUGGAACUUGAUAAGUUCAUUCCAGUCCAGCGGGACUCCUAACCCUUCAGCAACAUAAGCCAUGUAUGCUUCUCUCCCAUCAGAUUUAUCCCCAGCAAGUCUGUAUUAAUACAUUUUUUCAAAAUGUUACUAGCAUGUAAUACUCAAAUUAUGAAUGCUAUUUUAAUUUCAUUGGUAAGAAAAAAGACGAUACAUUAUGCUCAUUCUACUAUACUUUGAAUCAUGGAACUUCAAAAAGUUUCCAAAAAAUAAAAAUAAAAAUCAGCUUAAUAAAAAGAAAGAGAUAAGAAGCAAAUCAGCCAAAAGAAAUUCCAUUCACACUACUAGCUGCGUUCGAGUAAGAACCAACUAUCCUAACCAGAAAUAAAUGGGAAAGGAAUGCAUGCAUGUGCACAUUUUUGUGCCAUAAUUGUCAUUUGACAAACCUUUUCAAUUCCAUCUGCCGGACGUGAAGAAUCCCAUCAACAUCAGUUUGUCUCGCUGGAAAUUCCAAGCCCAUUCCAAUGGCUUGCCUAAUCAUACCAGGAAAAGUAAUAUUGAAACCUAUAGGAGUAGCAAUCUGCUCAUCCAUAGAGAAGGAGAAUUUUUUUCCAAUAAAAUGCAGUCCUGUUUCGCAAAAGGAAAAAUAUAGUUAUGUCAGUAUAGACCAUUUUAUCUCAACAAAAGUUGUUAGAUCGUAUAAACAGAAGAUAAUAAAAUGACACAACCCUAACAAGUAUUCCCUCCGUUCCAAAAUAAGUAUAAUUUGAACUAAAAUGACGACACUUAUUUUGGGAAGGAGGGAGUAUAUUUUUUCCCAUACCUCUCCUGAUGUGUUCCGGGCCAACAUUCCAUUUCUUGAGUGCAAUAACACACGCCAAUGUGGAUAAGAGAGUAGACUUGUCGGGUGACAAGUCAAAUUCGCUGAUGCCCCAAGAACCAUUAUCCUGUUGGCUUUGCAAUAUCCAUUCAAGGCACCGAGGGAAGUGUGGAGCACUAGGGAAAUCCCGCAAGGGCACCAUAGCAACCCAUGCUGUGUCGUACGGAGAUGGUGUCAAUUCAGGAUUCUGAAGCUGCUUCCUUAUUCUAGCCUCCCGUUCCUAAUUUGUAUGCAACAUUUGAUGCUUGUAUUUAGUUCAGGCCGUAAAAUCAUCAGCGCAGCCUCACACAUAUUACUGGAACAUUGAUUCAUACCUUGUUUCGCAGGCCUGCAUUUUCUCCUACCAAACUCUUCUUCGCUGUUUGAAGAAAAGGAGAUUUAUGUCACACGUCAAUUAGAUGCUGAUCUUUCGCUGUCUCUACUCUCGGAACAAAAAGUUGCGACAUGAACUGGGGAUUCUUUUAACAAAAAAGAUCUUUGAAGCUGCUUGUAAUUUAAGACAUACUAAUAGUGUAUUUCUUUUAGAUGUAAAAAACCAAGU